UUGGAAAAGGUGAGUUUUGGGGAGAGAGUUCCAGAGAUAUUGAGAUAAUCACCUCCACUGCUUUCAUAGACAGGUCACUGCAGCACCUGUGAUUUAUCAGGCGAGCCAUUCAAGCUGGUAGCAUUUCCCAGAGCCUGGUUUUAGUUUGAAGGCAGACCUGAACCAUUUCAAACCUGACUCCUGACCCCUGAUGUGCUGAAGCAGAAAUAUGGGCGAGCAUUAGGAUGCAAGGGUGAUCUCCACACCUGCAGCUCCUGUGGGGUGUUCCCGAUCUGCACCAAAAGUGGUCCAUAGAAGGGUGUCCAAGCUGACCCUGUCAACCUCUGAAAGUUGCUACAAUGGACACACAAGCAUCAGACCUGGACCACGGAGCGAUGGAAGAAGGUGAUCUGGAGGAACACAAGGAGUUCAAGGUGUUGACUUAGUCUCCAGAUUCCCCAGGUCUCAGUCCAAUCCAGCAUCUGUGGGAUGAGCUGGACAACCAAGUCUGAGCCAUGGAGGCUCCACCUCACAACUUCAGGACUUAAAGGAUCUGAUGCUGACCUCUUGGAGACAGAUACCACAGCACACCUGCAGAGGUCUAGAGGAGUCAUCAGGUCAGGCAUGUUUUAGCCUUGGCCUGAUGAUGGUGUGGCCUCCAUAACAUAAGGUGUGGUCACAAGCCAUGGUCACAAGCCAUCACAAGAUAAAUCAGGGAAGGACACAUCAUGACUAAGACUUUGACUCUGUUAUCAAAUGUGACUCGCUGUGUGGACGUUGGUGGUUGACAUCGCAAAUGUUGUGAGGAUGUAGACAAUGUUUUGAAGCCUCUUACAUUGCUGUUAGGUUUUUUAGUUUUUCAUAUUUUGGAUCAAAAGAUCACUGUCACUAUAUCCUGGGUGAAAAAGAGGCGUUUUUUUCAUUUAAUGUUAUAAAUUAAAUUCUAAUAUCUACCAUCUAAAGCAUCAUGUCAGAAAGAUGUAAAUAAGGAGCAGCACUCAAAUCAAUAUUCUCCUCAGAUUUCCUCGACUGAGAAUCCUCACAAGUUGCACUGAUGCACUGUACACACUUUUGGUGUGUUCAGACCUGUGAGCUCCCUAAACCCCUCCAUGACAUUCCUCUCACUGAAGAUAAGACGUGAUGCUGUAGAGCACAAUGGGUACAUUAUGUCCCGUCACGCUUGUAACUCCCUUUGACGGAUGGAAGGAAAUUCUUGGUUAUGUGACACACAUGCACUGCUGCCCAUGCCUGGACUUAAUCCCACGUCUGGAUCUACUUUUUCUGCGUGGGGUUUAUGGGAAACAGGCUGAGCAUGUGCCCUGCGCUCUGCAGAGAAUCACAACUCAGUGCAUUGACUGGAAUUAAACAGUUAAUCUCAAUUGGGCUUUUUCAUCCUUGACAAGACCUCUUGGCCCUCCUUGUGUUGUACUCAAUCAGGGGCUAAUUGUGAGCCCCUCACCACUGGGAAUGUGAGCUCCCCCCUUCUUGCUCGAGGGCAUAUGUACAUAUUCGCUGAGGAAUGCCGGAAAGGCAUUGUUGUCUUCUUUUGAAAGGUCUUCCGAGGUCUAUGAAUGUUAUUUUCCCAAGCCCUCUGCAAAGUGUAACUCACAGUCCACUAAUUGCUGCAGAUGGAGUUUUCAUGGAAAGAAUGGUAAGGAUGUGGUCACAGUUGCUGGGAUUUGUCUGGAGGGAUAAAGGCAUCAGUGGGCACGUGAACAAUGUUGAAGGGGGGGUACAAAAGAAGUAGCUAUGAAUUAGGAAGCAUUACUAAAUACCAUGGCUGAAGAGCUGAGAGUCUAUGAGUGUGUUCAGGACAGCCCGCGCACACAGAGGGGAAAGUUCUUGACCUGAUUGUUUUAUUUAUUGUACUCAGUGGUUGCCAUUUUGCAGUUUUACUGAAAAACGCUCACAAAAUAACCCAAACCUUGUAAUCUAGAGAAUGACUUGUUGAUGGAAGCUGUGUAACAGCACAAUUGGCAGAAAGAUUUGUCUGUAAAAAUAUCCAACAGAUGCAGCAGGUCCAGAGGUUAAGUUUGAAAGCAGGCUGUUACAGUUACAGUACUUUAUGUGCUCCAAAGAGACUGGAGAAUCCCUGAUGACAGAGACCUUCAGGGGGUUGAUUCAGCUGAACUACAGUAAGACUGAAAAAAUAGAUGCAACCUCAUGAUGGAGGUUCAGUGUUUCCUUCGUGUUUGAUUGUUGGCUCCAGUAUGAUAUUUUAUACAAGUUAUCAGAUAUGUAGUGCUGUAGUUUAAAGCUACAGUGUGUAAUAUUUAAAAGUAAAGUGUGUAAUAUUUAAAAGUACAG